CAAUUCCCAGGUUGGAAAAACUUAAGCUAAUGCUAGCUCAAGAGACUCUGCAACUCAUGAGAGCGAAAGAAUUGUAUUUAAAUCGCAAAAGAGCUGAAAUUCAGGGAAAGUUCUGGAGGCUGGGAAGUCCAAGAUGCCUGCAGAUUCACUGUCCGAUGGAAGAUCUUCCAGAACAAGAAAAAAAUAUAAAUGUUGUAGAUGAAUUAGAAAUGCAAUUUUAUGAAAUUCAGUUAGAACUAUAUGAAGUUAAAUUUGAGAUAUUAAAAAACGAAGAAAUACUGCUUACUACACAGUUGGACUCUCU
rnacentral:lncRNA from 1 species